rnacentral:rRNA from 1 species
UCGCGGCCUAUCAGCUUGUUGGUGAGGUAACGGCUCACCAAGGCGACGACGGGUAGCCGGCCUGAGAGGGCGACCGGCCACACUGGGACUGAGACACGGCCCAGACUCCUACGGGAGGCAGCAGUGGGGAAUAUUGCACAAUGGGCGAAAGCCUGAUGCAGCGACGCCGCGUGAGGGAUGACGGCCUUCGGGUUGUAAACCUCUUUCAGCAGGGAAGAAGCGAAAGUGACGGUACCUGCAGAAGAAGCGCCGGCUAACUACGUGCCAGCAGCCGCGGUAAUACGUAGGGCGCAAGCGUUGUCCGGAAUUAUUGGGCGUAAAGAGCUCGUAGGCGGCUUGUCACGUCGGUUGUGAAAGCCCGGGGCUUAACCCCGGGUCUGCAGUCGAUACGGGCAGGCUAGAGUUCGGUAGGGGAGAUCGGAAUUCCUGGUGUAGCGGUGAAAUGCGCAGAUAUCAGGAGGAACACCGGUGGCGAAGGCGGAUCUCUGGGCCGAUACUGACGCUGAGGAGCGAAAGCGUGGGGAGCGAACAGGAUUAGAUACCCUGGUAGUCCACGCCGUAAACGAUGGGCACUGGGUGUGGGCAACAUUCCACGUUGUCCGUGCCGCAGCUAACGCAUUAAGUGCCCCGCCUGGGGAGUACGGAA